rnacentral:rRNA from 1 species
GAUGAACGCUGGCGGCGUGCCUAAUACAUGCAAGUCGAGCGAACAGACGAGGAGCUUGCUCCUCUGACGUUAGCGGCGGACGGGUGAGUAACACGUGGAUAACCUACCUAUAAGACUGGGAUAACUUCGGGAAACCGGAGCUAAUACCGGAUAAUAUAUUGAACCGCAUGGUUCAAUAGUGAAAGACGGUUUUGCUGUCACUUAUAGAUGGAUCCGCGCUGCAUUAGCUAGUUGGUAAGGUAACGGCUUUCCACGGCGACGAUGCGUAGCCGACCUGAGAGGGUGAUCGGCCACACGGGAACUGAGACACGGUCCAGACUCCUACGGGAGGCAGCAGUAGCGAAUCUUCCGCAAUGGGCGAAAGCCUGACGGAGCAACGCCGCGUGAGUGAUGAAGGUCUUCGGAUCGGAAAACUCUGUUAGUAGGGAAGAACAAAUGUGGAAGUAGCUAUGCACGUCUUGACGGUACCUGAUCAGAAAGCAACGGCUAACUACGUG